AUUGAACGCUGGCGGCAGGCCUAACACAUGCAAGUCGAACGAGUGGCGGACGGGUGAGUAAUGUCUGGGAAACUGCCCGAUGGAGGGGGAUAACUACUGGAAACGGUAGCUAAUACCGCAUACCAUCGGAUGUGCCCAGAUGGGAUUAGCUUGUAGGUGAGGUAACGGCUCACCUAGGCGACGAUCCCUAGCUGGUCUGAGAGGAUGACCAGCCACACUGGAAAUGAGACACGGUCAAGAACCCUACGGGAGGCAGCAGUGGGGAAUAUUGCACAAUGUGCGCAAGCCUGAUGCAGGUAUGCCGGGUGUGUGAAGAAGGCCGUCGGGUUGUAAAGUAAUUUCAGCGGGGAGGCGUUACCCGCAGAAGAAGCACCGGCUAACUCCGGGCCAGCAGCCGCGGUAAUAC
rnacentral:rRNA from 1 species